rnacentral:rRNA from 1 species
UACAUCGGAACGUACCUCGUAGUGGGGGAUAACUCGGCGAAAGCCGUGCUAAUACCGCAUAUGCUCUACGGAGGAAAGCAGGGACCGCAAGGCCUUGUGCUAUGGGAGCGGCCGAUGUCCGAUUAGCUAGUUGGUGGGGUAAUGGCCCACCAAGGCGACGAUCGGUAGCUGGUCUGAGAGGAUGAUCAGCCACACUGGGACUGAGACACGGCCCAG